GAUGAACGCUGGCGGCGUGCCUAAUACAUGCAAGUCGAGCGAACGGACGAGAAGCUUGCUUCUCUGAUGUUAGCGGCGGACGGGUGAGUAACACGUGGAUAACCUACCUAUAAGACUGGGAUAACUUCGGGAAACCGUAGCUAAUACCGGAUAAUAUUUUGAACCGCAUGGUUCAAAAGUGAAAGACGGUCUUGCUGUCACUUAUAGAUGGAUCCGCGCUGCAUUAGCUAGUUGGUAAGGUAACGGCUUACCAAGGCAACGAUGCAUAGCCGACCUGAGAGGGUGAUCGGCCACACUGGAAAUGAGACACGGUCCAGAAUCCUACGGGAGGCAGCAGUAGGGAAUCUUCCGCAAUGGGCGAAAGCCUGACGGAGCAACGCCGCGUGAGUGAUGAAGGUCUUCGGAUCGUAAAACGCUGUUAUUAGGGAAGAACAUAUGUGUAAGUAACUGUGCACAUCUUGACGGUACCUAAUCAGAAAGCCACGGAGAACUACGU
rnacentral:rRNA from 1 species